rnacentral:tRNA from 1 species
ACCUGGCUGGCUUAGUUGGUAGAGCAUGCAACUCUUGAUUUCAGGGUUGUGAGUUUGAGUCUCAUGUUGGGUG